rnacentral:rRNA from 1 species
GGUUAAGCGACUAAGCGUACACGGUGGAUGCCCUGGCAGUCAGAGGCGAUGAAGGACGUGCUAAUCUGCGAAAAGCGCCGGCGAGGUGAUAUGAACCCUUGACCCGGCGAUGUCCGAAUGGGGAAACCCAGUGCAAUCCGUUGCACUAUCGUUAACUGAAUACAUAGGUUAACGAGGCGAACCGGGGGAACUGAAACAUCUAAGUACCCCGAGGAAAAGAAAUCAACCGAGAUUCCCCCAGUAGCGGCGAGCGAACGGGGAGCAGCCCGGAGUCUGAAUCAGCUUGUGUGUUAGUGGAACGGUCUGGAAAGUCCGACGGUACAGGGUGAUAGUCCCGUACACGAAAGCACACAUGCUGUGAACUCGAAGAGUAGGGCGGGACACGUGGUAUCCUGUCUGAAUAUGGGGGGACCAUCCUCCAAGGCUAAAUACUCCUGACUGACCGAUAGUGAACCAGUACCGUGAGGGAAAGGCGAAAAGAACCCCGGCGAGGGGAGUGAAAAAGAACCUGAAACCGUGUACGUACAAGCAGUGGGAGCCUCUUUAUGGGGUGACUGCGUACCUUUUGUAUAAUGGGUCAGCGACUUAUAUUCUGUAGCAAGGUUAACCGUAUAGGGGAGCCGAAGGGAAACCGAGUCUUAACUGGGCGUUAAGUUGCAGGGUAUAGACCCGAAACCCGGUGAUCUAGCCAUGGGCAGGUUGAAGGUUGGGUAACACUAACUGGAGGACCGAACCGACUAAUGUUGAAAAAUUAGCGGAUGACCUGUGGCUGGGGGUGAAAGGCCAAUCAAACCGGGAGAUAGCUGGUUCUCCCCGAAAGCUAUUUAGGUAGCGCCUCGUGAACUCAUCUUCGGGGGUAGAGCACUGUUUCGGCUAGGGGGCCAUCCCGGCUUACCAACCCGAUGCAAACUACGAAUACCGAAGAAUGUUAUCACGGGAGACACACGGCGGGUGCUAACGUCCGUCGUGAAGAGGGAAACAACCCAGACCGCCAGCUAAGGUCCCAAAGUCAUGGUUAAGUGGGAAACGAUGUGGGAAGGCACAGACAGCCAGGAUGUUGGCUUAGAAGCAGCCAUCAUUUAAAGAAAGCGUAAUAGCUCACUGGUCGAGUCGGCCUGCGCGGAAGAUGUAACGGGGCUAAACCAUGCACCGAAGCUGCGGCAGCGAC